UACAAAUCCCUAACAUCUGCGCCGCUCACUUUCCCCAAAUCCUCAACUUUGCUUCCCCUUCUUUUGCCGAUAGCAAAGUUGAACCUCAUUUGGUGGAUCCCUUUCUUGUGCUGAGACCCUUGGCUGAAACCGAUUUGCUGGCUGACUCGUCACUUUCCCGAGAGUAGAAGGUGAAACCCAUUUGUUGGAUCCCCUUCUUGUGUCGAGACCCUUAGCUGAAACCGAUUUGCUGGCUGACUCGUCACUUUCCCAAGAGCAGAGGGUGAAACCCAUUUGGUGGAUCCCCUUCUUGUGCCGAAACCCUUGGCUGAAACCAAUUUGCUGGCUGACUCGUCACUUUCCCGAUAAGUUAAUCACUAUCUGACUAACAGGGUACAAUGUCUGCUUUUUCUUCUUUUCAACGAAUUUGGGGUAGAAAUUCAUAACUAUAUCUAGAGAAGUUAAUCACUAUCUGACUAAUUCGACCUUUUGAGGAAUCAAUGAACAGUAAGGACUUUUCAAUACUCGAUAUCGUUCUUAGUCUAGUUGAUAAUUCUCCAGAUAUCUAGGCGUCAAUAGCUCAUAAUUCACACUGGUACAUUCAAAGUUGUCAGGACUUGUAGUAGUUUCUGGUUGCUGCAAUGUCACCAAUGUGCCUAUUUUCAUUUUCCUCCUUUCAACUUUCCAGAAAACUUUUCUAUUGGUGUGGAAAUUUUGUGUAAUAUGUUUUUCUUUGUAAUGUUUCUAGCCUGUGUUUAUCAGUUUAUAUGGGCGAGAACUAUACUGGUUUUUCCAUGCAUUUUCUUCCACUGGUUGGUUCAAUAACCAGACUAUGUAUCAGCUUUGAUACAAAUAAGAUUAUCUAUGGACUGCACAAGAGAUCAAAAGCACCCAAAGAAGAAAAAUCUAGUUGCCUCUACCAUCUUACAAUAGCCAAUAUGUAGCUUAUGCUCUCAAAUUUGAGAUCUUAAUUCAGAGAUGUUGGCUUUAAAUUUUUAGAGACGAAGAGAUGAUCGCUUUUAUUAAGUAAUUUAAAAUCGAAGAGAUAAUAUCCAGUCUCACAAAUUUGUUUUUUUAUUGAAAUUGACAAUUCAUUUAAGUAGUCCUUUACUGCAAGUUAAAAUGAAGUUUUAAGUUCAAAAAAGGUUAUAAUGGUGCCAAAGUCAAUCUUCUUCUUUGAAUUGCAAGGCCAGCAUCUCAACAAACAUAAUGGCUAUGAUUUGAAGUAGAAUUUUGAACAAAGCUCAUCAAGCAAAGAAUCUUGGAAAAUUCUACCAUCUCUGGCUAUGGCCUUUCAUGGAUGCUGCACUGCUUUUUGUAUGCCGAUUUGAGCUUAAUUUGGAAAUGAAAAGCUUUAAAAUUUGGGAUUGUGAAGAUAUUAUCUAAAGGUUACAUCAAAAGUUAGUGAAGAUAGUGAUUAACAGGGUAUAGUACAGAAAAAGUGGUGAGUUUCAUACACUUUGCAGACAUUGUUGCCUAAUUUUGAGUGCUUAACGUUGCUGCUGGUCAUUUUGUUUUGUAAAGUUUAUUGUAAAUCUCUUUCCUCAUGUAAAUCUCUUUUACUAGAAUGCUAGAGAAGUUUGUUGGUUAAAUCA
rnacentral:sRNA from 1 species